rnacentral:rRNA from 1 species
UACGAAGGGGGCUAGCGUUGUUCGGAAUUACUGGGCGUAAAGCGUGCGCAGGCGGCUUCUCAAGUCAGGGGUGAAAGCCCAGAGCUCAACUCUGGAAUUGCCUUUGAGACUGAGUGGCUUGAGUACGAGAGAGGUGAGUGGAAUUCCCAGUGUAGAGGUGAAAUUCGUAGAUAUUGGGAAGAACACCGGUGGCGAAGGCGGCGACCUGGUCCGACACUGACGCUGAGGCGCGAAAGCGUGGGGAGCAAACAGG